UACGUAGGGGGCUAGCGUUAUCCGGAUUUACUGGGCGUAAAGAGUGCGUAGGCGGUCUUUUAAGUCAGGAGUGAAAGGCUACGGCUCAACCGUAGUAAGCUCUUGAAACUGGAGGACUUGAGUGCAGGAGAGGAGAGUGGAAUUCCUAGUGUAGCGGUGAAAUGCGUAGAUAUUAGGAGGAACACCAGUAGCGAAGGCGGCUCUCUGGACUGUAACUGACGCUGAGGCACGAAAGCGUGGGGAGCAAACAGG
rnacentral:rRNA from 1 species